rnacentral:rRNA from 1 species
CAAUGGGCGAAAGCCUGACGGUGCGACGCCGCGUGAAGGAUGAAGUCCCUCGGGAUGUAAACUUUAAUGGUAUGUUAGGAAGCGAGCCGGUCUAAUACACCGGCGAGUUGACCCGCGUACGAAAGGGGCGGCUAACUCCGUGCCAGCAGCCGCGGUAAGACGGAGGCCCCAAGCGUUGUUCGGAAUCACUGGGCUUAAAGGGCGUGUAGGCGGAGCGGUCAGUACCUUGUGAAAUCCCCGGCUUCAAUCCGGGAACUGCUCGGUAUACUGCCGUUCUUGAGGCAGGUAGGGGUCACUGGAACCUUAGGUGGAGCGGUGAAAUGCGUAGAUAUCUAAGGGAACGCCUGUGGCGAAAGCGGGUGACUGGGCCUGUCCUGACGCUGAAACGCGAAAGCGUAGGGAGCAAAAGGGAUUAGAUACCCCUGUAGUC